ensembl:lncRNA
CAGAGUGGAUGGAGUUGCAUAAAUACUUUACAUCUCUCUUCACGAUCGCUCCUGCUGAGGAUGCUGGGAAAGCGGACAGCCCUUCAGAAUCCUGUUUAAGCAUCGUAGAGUUAGAUGAGAGGGAUGGAGACGCUAUAAUGUACAGAUCCUUUGGAGUCAAGCAGGGAAAUGAGAGCAAAAUGUUUGCAGCUGUUGGAAAUGGAGGAGAUUUUGGAUAUUCGGUUUUGCCUUUCACACCGUGCUUCUCCGAGAUGACCAAAGGAUCCAUCGGUGAAUGUGAUUCUGACAUAAAGAUCAACUCUUCUUCUGAGAUGUGGCCGCUGUCUCAAGAGGCUGAACAAUCUUCGUCAUCAUUGCCAAGAUCAGAAAGCUUUUCUCCACUUCAGACGAGGCUUCAGAGAUCACAGCACCUGUCGACUGCCUCAUAAUCCUUUCUGUCAAAUUCACGAACAGGAGGCCAGAAAGUGGAACUCAGUGACUCUCCAAAACCAAGAUCUUCUGCAGCACAACAGGACAAAUCCUCAGAGCUUCUGCCAACAUCAUCCCCUUCACUCCCAAAAAUCAAAUUAAAUCAAACUCUCCCAGGCUUUGAGGACCAUAUUUCCACUGUCAGCCUCUCUCCUGGUGAAAUACCAUCUGUUAGGCCCUCUCAAUGUCAUUUUCCUGCUUUUCUCAUCUCUAAACAAAGUCCAAAACCUCCAGAUUCUCUGUCCCCAAGGUCUUGAUCAGUUUCUUCUCUAGUAAACCCAGUCCAAUCCAGACCUGCUCAUUCAACACCUGUUUCUGAACUGUCUCCAGAACGUGCCAUCACUUCCCCAAGUGCUGCAGUUCCUUCAUUAAAGCUGUCACUUAGAGAAUCAUCACAGUCUGGAUUAGUCUCAUAUAGAAGUAUAUCUACUAUGCCUGUCUAUGACUCCUUCAGUUCUUCUAUGCUGAGGGAUAAAUCUUCUCACCCGGCCUCCGAAUGGUUUAAGGGCUCACGGAGGUCACCCAAAACCAAAGUGUGCUCCUUACAGCUAAACAUGUCAGUUGUAGGGCAGGAGUCCUGGAUAUCCAGCAGCAGUCUUCAGCAUCACGCAGAGGAAGAGCUGGUCACUGUGCUGAUGAACGCUCGGCCCGUCAGUAGCACCCCUUGUCCCCUCAAACCAGGCCGUAGCAGAGUGUCAUCACACAGGCUGUGUUUCUCAGGCACCAUAAACAUAUGUUCUCCCAUCUCUUCUCGGCCCCUGAGUGCCGGGACUCAUCGGCCGCUGUCUCUUGCUGCUGAGGAGAUCAUGGAGGUCCAGACCGUGGAGCAGCUCGAUCUCCAGGACUCUGAUGAAGAUAGGGAGGAUUGCCUGGCUCUGGCCUGCCUUGAGGAAGAUACCAAACAUAUGAGCACUACACCAUUAGAUGAGGGUUUUUAG